CAUCUGGUAGGCACUUCAGACAUAUAUUUCUGGAGUGAAAAGUAAAAAAUGGAAGAAAAAACUGUACGCAAAAACGUAAAAGAGAAUUGAAAUAGAUCGUCGGAGUCAAAAUGUACUUAGUCUAUGACUUUAUUGAAUUUUAAAUAAUUUUACUGAAAUUAAUAAAUUAAUUAUUUAUUUUUUGUGCUCUUUUGGCAAUAAUGGACGUUUGGCAAACGAUAUGCAUUCAAACGGCAACCAGAGGCAGUAUUGGCUGCUCCUCAUCCUAAAGGACGAACAGAUGCACACAACGGUGGACUUGACGGAGCUAUCUACACAGACGGAGGGUUUUUCUGAUUACGAUUUGAAGGAGCUGUGCAUGUAUGUCGGCACAUCUGCAUGCAUCGCAUGCGUCAAUUUAUGCGCAAAUUAAUGGCAAAUCCCAAUGCGAUCUCAAUUCAACUGCCAGCUCUUUUUUUACUUUUUUAUUUUGAGAUUAAAUUUCAAACUGCCACUGCAGUACACAUGUUUACAAAACACAGCUGAUUCGUGUGAAUGUGUUAGUUACGGUCCACGUACAAACGAAAUAUAUAGAAUAUACAUAAAAAAUGCUGCAGACAGGCCUUAACUUAAGUAUUCUACAUCUGGUUGUGAUGAACUUAGUCAUUCUAUACAGCUGAUGAAUGCAUCUGUAAUGUAUCCCCAAAUACUUUGUGGUUUAGCUUACCGUCUGGAAAACAUUGAGUUUUUAAAUGAAAAGUUUUGAUAUUUACGUUAUUUAUUAUUGUUCAUACGAUAUUUUGACUUUAAAAACUCAGGUAAAAAAAUAAUAUACACACAGCCUGCUUUGCGAGUACAGGGUACAACAGUCAAAUGACCCGUCCAAUGCAACAACAAGAAGAACAUAAAACCUGCCACUGCGCCUGCUACUGUCUCUCCUACUCUACUGCCAGUUCCUCUGCCAAUGCCUCUACUGAUGCGCCUGCUACUGUGACACAACAUACAAGAUUUUUUGUUGCUUCUACUGCUGCUGCUGUCUCUGUGGCAGGUCGAAGCCAAAGGUCGUGAGGGGGGUAUACAUAGAGGUUAAUGUUAGCCACACUAAAAGAAAACUAACCAAAAAGCUUAGCCGAUUGCCGAUGCCGAUUCAAUGUAAAUUUUAAAUUUGUCAAGUUAAUCAAGUCAAACUAUUUUUGCCCCAUUAAACUGGAACCUCCUGGACAACGUGCACCUUGAUUUGUUCAGCGCACACCGCGAUUCGAGGAGAUCCUCCAUGUGCAGUGUCAAUUCG
rnacentral:lncRNA from 1 species